CGGAACGUAGCUCAGUCCAGCAGAGCGCUGCUCUUGGGCAGCAGAGGUCGCGGGUCCAAGUCCCGCCGUUCCGACCA
rnacentral:tRNA from 1 species